rnacentral:tRNA from 4 species
GCCGAAGUGGUGGAAUUGGUAGACACGAUGGAUUCAAAAUCCAUUGCUGAUAAGGCGUGCGGGUUCGAUUCCCGCCUUCGGUA